rnacentral:tRNA from 1 species
GCAGGAUUAGUGUUAGUGGUUAGCACGGGACUCUUCCAAAGUUCAAGCGCCAGUUCGAAUCUGGUAUCUUGCUCCA